GACGAACGCUGGCGGCGUGCCUAAUACAUGCAAGUCGAACGCAGUGGGGCCGGGUGAGUAACACGUGGGUAACCUCCCAUCAGAGGGGAUAACACUUGGAAACAGGUGCUAAACCGCUACUGAUGGGUGGACCCGCGGUGCAUUAGCUAGUGGGGGGGGUAACGGCUCACCAAGGCCACGAUGCAUAGGCGACCUGGGAGGGUGAGCGGCCACACUGGGACUGAGAGACGGCCAAGACUCCUACGGGAGGCAGCAGUAGGGAAUCGUCGGGAAUGGAGGAAAGUCUGAACGGGCAACGCCGCGUGAGUGAAGAAGGUUUUCGGAUCGUAAAACUCUGUUGUUAGAGAAGCGGUAUCUAACGAGAAAGCGACGGCUAACUACGUGCCAGCAGCCGCGGUAAUUC
rnacentral:rRNA from 1 species